rnacentral:rRNA from 1 species
GAUGAACGCUGGCGGCGUGCCUAAUACAUGCAAGUCGAGCGAACAGACGAGGAGCUUGCUCCUCUGACGUUAGCGGCGGACGGGUGAGUAACACGUGGAUAACCUACCUAUAAGACUGGGAUAACUUCGGGAAACCGGAGCUAAUACCGGAUAAUAUAUUGAACCGCAUGGUUCAAUAGUGAAAGACGGUUUUGCUGUCACUUAUAGAUGGAUCCGCGCCGCAUUAGCUAGUUGGUAAGGUAACGGCUUACCAAGGCAACGAUGCGUAGCCGACCUGAGAGGGUGAUCGGCCACACUGGAACGGAGCCACGGUCCAGACUCCUCCGGGAGGCAGCAGUAGGGAAUCUUCCGCAAUGGGCGAAAGCUUGACGGAGCAACGCCGCGUGAGUGAUGAAGGUCUUCGGAUCGUAAAACUCUGUUAUUAGGGAAGAACAAAUGUGUAAGUAACUAUGCACGUCUUGACGGUACCUAAUCAGAAAGCCACGGCUAACUACGUG